rnacentral:tRNA from 31 species
GCCGGGAUAGCUCAGUUGGUAG